GCGUGCUUAACACAUGCAAGUCGAAGGAGAAGAGAUGAUAAGCUUGCUUCUUAUUAUGUCUAGUGGCAGACGGGUGAGUAACGCGUAUCCAACCUGCCCUUCACAUGGGGACAACCGCUGGAAACAGCUGCUAAUACCGAAUACGUUCUUUCCGCCGCAUGACGGAAUGAAGAAAGGGAGGCCUUCGGGCUUUCGCUGGAGGAGGGGCUUGCGUCUGAUUAGCUGGUUGGAGGGGUAACGGCCCACCAAGGCGACGAUCGAUAGCCGGUCUGACAGGAUGAACGGCCACAUUGGGACUGACACACGGCCCAGACUCCUACGGGAGGCAGCAGUGGGGAAUCUUCCGCAAUGGACGAAAGUCUGACGGAGCAACGCCAGCGUGAACGAUGACGGCCUUCGGGUUGUAAAGUUCUGUUAUAUGGGACGAACAGGACAUCGGUUAAUACCCGGUGACUUUGACGGUACCGUAAUGAGAGAGCCACGGCUAACUACGUGCCAGCAGCCGCGGUAAUACCUAGGUGGCAUGCGUUGACCGGAAUUAUAGGGCGUAAGGGGCGCGCAAGCGGCAUCGCAGGUCGGCCUUAGAAGUGCGGGGCUUAACCCCGUGAGGGGACCGAAACUGUGAAGCUCGAGUGUCGCAAAGAAAAGCGGAAUUCCUAGUGUAACGGUGAAAUGCGUAGAUAUUAGGAGGAACACCAGUGGUGAAAGCGACUUUCUGGUCGACAGCUGACGCUGAGGCGCGAAAGCCAGGGGAGCAAUCGAGAUUAGAUAUCUCGGUAGUGCUGACAGUAAACGAUGGAUACUAGGUGUAGGAGGUAUUGAUUCCUUUUGUGCAGGAGUUAUCGCAAUAAGUAUGCCGCCUGGGGAGUACGGCCGCAAGGAUGAAACUCAAAGGAAUUGACGGGGACCCGCACAAGCGGUGGAGUAUGUGGUGUAAUUAGACGCAACGCGAAGAGCCUUACCAAGCCUUGACAUUGAUUGGUACGGAAAGAGAUUUCCGGUUCUUGUUCGGAAGACAUGAAAACAGGUGGUGCACGGCUGUCGUCAGCUGGUGUCGUGAGAUGUUGGGAUAAGUCCCGCAACGAGCGCAACCCAUAUCUUCUGUUGCCAGCACCUCGGGUGGGGACUCAGAAGAGACUGCCGCAGACAAUGCGGAGGAAGGCGGGGAAGAGGUCAAGUCAUCAUGCCCCUUAUGGCUUGGGCUACACACGUACUACAAUGGCUCUUAAUAGAGGGAAGAGAAGGAGCGAUCCGGAGCAAACCCCAAAAACAGAGUCCCAGUUUGGAAUGCAGGAUGCAACUCGCCUGCAUGAAGCAGGAAUCGCUAGUAAUCGCAGGUCAGCAUAUUGCGGUGAAUACGUUGCCGGGCUUUGUACACACCGCCCGUCACACCACGAAAGUCAUUCACACCGGAAGCCGGUGAGGCAACCGCAAGGAACCAUCCGUCGAAGGUGGGGGCGAUGAUUGGG
rnacentral:rRNA from 1 species